rnacentral:sRNA from 1 species
CGAUGGUAGUGGACUAUCUAUUAUCAAACAAUUAGAUUUUAACUCUGACGUCAGUGGUAUUGCACUAGACCCCGUGAACGACAUUGUUUUCUAUAGCGACAACGGUUUGGUUGUAAUCGCGGCAAUCAAUGUCGACGGCAGUAACAAUAGAUACGUCAUCUCAUCCAGUCUCAACAGUCCAAGAAGUGUCGCCCUGCUUCCGGAGUCUCA